UAAAAAUGGUGACAAAUGAGGCCUAUAAGACCGUAUCUGCUUCUACCCCAAAAAAUUAAAAAGGUGAUUCUUUUCAGCACAACAUACAGUGAAAAGGUUUACCAGUAAAGAAUUUCAAUCAUUUCUUCAUUGAGACUUGCUUGAGUACAACCACCAGAGGGAGACACAGCUUGUCACUCUACACACUGGAACACAUGCAUGUGCUGCAGUGGAAGUAACCUGCUGCAAUCCUUCAAGACUUAGGAAAUGAUGGUUUUACCAGCAAAUCAAUAUGGAUGGGGACAGAGAUACUGCACACAUGACAUUUCUUUGAGUAAAAAUCUGACUAUAAAAUAAGCAAUACAUUGGGCAAACAACAAGUAAUGCCAGCUUUAAUUCAUCACUUGGUCUUGAUCGGCCUCAGAUGGCUACAUGGGCAUAUGAAACCAGUUUUUACCCACACUAGCUGCAUAAAACUGGGAAUGCGCCCUAUUUGCUUUUGGUCCUCAAGGUGUUUAGGGAUGCAACAACAUGAUGGUUUUUUUUUCUUCCUGAUACCUUAACUUUGUAAAUGGGUAGAUACUGAGAACUGAUCAGGGAGCCAGGGAGCAAAAAGGGGGGGGGAAAAGUUGUUUUGAAUGGCUUCAUUGUGUAAUGUAGAAAGUAAAAUGUCUGUGCUAAAGGGGAAAACAUCCAACUGUUUCCAAUAGCCAGUGGUGAUGUCUCCAUGUUUUGCUCGACCAACAGCACACAACCUUUUAUACUGAUGUAAAACAGAAGAAUUGCAUUCACACCACAAUGAAGCUGGAGCAAAACAAUGCUAGCUAGAUGUUUAUACAUGGCGACCUGCACGACUAAUCGAUGUCCAACACGGUCUACCACUUUUUUUUCUUUUUCUUGUUGUUUACUUCAGACUAAAAACGCUGUAAAGACCUGUGGCAGUUUUACAUUGGUUACCAGCAGAUUUUCUUUGGCAGAGUUAGCCCUAUCCAGGGCGUCUAGACUCUUGCUAAGAAACUCCAGAAAUGUCCAUGGACUAACAACCUUCACCUGACUUUCCACCAGCAUGGGGUGAGAAGAAAAUGACAGAAUUUUUUGCUUUGGAGUGAACUUGUCCUUUAAAACACAUUAAGAGCACAGGAUAGUAAAUGAACCAAGUUAUGUUAUAUGGUUUCGACUGACAUUGCGUAGCCUUACUGUCCAUGCAGAGAUUUGUAAAAACUGAAUGCACUCAGGCAUCUGGAGGAAAUGCUGAUUUUUGGCCUCAGCUUUGAACGUCUGUGUAAAAUUCUACAAAUGUGAUUAUUAAGCCUAAAAUCAUUUCCCCAUAAUUUCUCCUUUCACAAGAAUUUGACGCAUGAUUUUAAUAUGACAAAGUGUGAAUACAGAAUCAACAGUACAUUUAAGAAAUCACAACUGCUUUAUUUCUUUUCUUUCAAUAAGCUCUUUUUUUUCCUUUUUUUUUUAAACAAGGGAGAAUAAUGACCAAAUAUCUGAAAGGAUAAAGAUCAGGUAGGAUAAAUAGAAUGCUGGAUCAGCUGUAGAAAGCACUGGUCCUCUGACAAAAUGAAAUAUGCAUCUUAAAAGUACAAAAAAAGUCAGGGCAACAUUUUGGUGCAAGGUACAAUGAUGAGAAGCAUCAAGAUCUUUUGCGGUAUGGGAUGAGAGGCAAAACACUCCAAGCCCGAUAAACCUAUCAACAAGUGAAAGCAAUCCAUUCUGAGAACACAGUGACCUUUUCAACGUUAAAUCCUUUAUAGUGCCACAAUAUCUAAAAUGAAAUGUGGGUUUAAGCCUCCCCUGGCUGACAAGGCUUGACUGUACAGUUAAGUAUGCAUAUACAUAUAUACCAGUGAAACACUGUCAUAAAGAUAAAUCGUAACAUUUUGUAGUGUCAUGGAGCGUUAUGGUAAGCAGUAACAUUUAACCAGUUAUGACAUUGGCAUUGUGAAGUUUCAAAAUGAGUGUCCGUUACAAAAAAGAAAAGAAAAGAAAAAAAAA